UUCCUCAUCUGCCAGUUGGCAGACGCUCAGCAAAUCUUCCUAGACUCACGGGGCGAAUUGUACAGUUGGGUAAAUCGAGGCCCAGAGAUGGCAAAAGGACCGUCCAAGGUCGUACAGCCACCCGGAAUUACAAUUCUUUUCUGCCGGGUCACACGCUGUCAUCCACGUGUUACCUAAGAGAGCUUUCCAGCCUGUGCUAAGAAAACUGCCCCACAUCAUCUGCAGUAGGACGGGGGAGUUGGAGCCCUGGUCAGGCCACUCUGCUACUGACCACAGUUUUCUCAUCUCUAAAAAGGCGCAGUAACAAUAUAAUUACCGUAUGCAGUCCCCCAGGAUACAGGGUCAAAGGAGAGCACAACCAUCGCAGUUGGAAGCCCAUGGGGCAGGAGCCGUCCUCACUCCCUCUAUUGCCUCUCCAGACCCAGACUUCACCCUCAGGUCACCCUCACCUGGACUUUGGGGUGCCCCACACCCCGCCCCAGGCCCUGGCCUCUGGAAUAUUUGGAAACUUGAACUGGGCCAGAGGCUUAAGCUCACAUCUGUCUGGAGCCUCAACUUUCUCCUCUGUAAAAUGGGCUAACACUGAAAGAACCUUGCAGAAUCUCAGCAACGUCACAGAGGACAUUGUUAGCACAGCCAGCGGGCUCCUGCUGGGCUGAGUUUGUGGGUAAUCCAAGCCUCGGCAGGUACAGUUCCUCCCUCAGGUGAG
rnacentral:lncRNA from 1 species